UCCCUGAUGGUUCAGUGGUUGGGACUCUGUGCUUCCACUGCUGAGGGUCCAAGUUUGAUCCCUGGUCUGGGAA
rfam:TPA: Bos taurus chromosome 6, whole genome shotgun sequence.